rnacentral:rRNA from 1 species
UGGCGGCGUGCUUACACAUGCAAGUCGAGCGGAAAGGCCCUUCGGGGUACUCGAGCGGCGAACGGGUGAGUAACACGUGAGUAACCUGCCCUUGGCUCUGGGAUAGCUCCGGGAAACCGGAAUUAAUACCGGAUAUGACUUCGGCCGACAUCGGCUGCGGUGGAAAGAUUUAUCGGCCAGGGAUGGGCUCGCGGCCUAUCAGCUAGUUGGUGGGGUAACGGCCUACCAAGGCGACGACGGGUAGCCGGCCUGAGAGGGCGACCGGCCACACUGGGACUGAGACACGGCCCAGACUCCUACGGGAGGCAGCAGUGGGGAAUAUUGCGCAAUGGGCGAAAGCCUGACGCAGCGACGCCGCGUGGGGGAUGAAGGCCUUCGGGUUGUAAACCCCUUUCGGCAGGGACGAAGCGAAAGUGACGGUACCUGCAGAAGGAGCGCCGGCUAACUACGUGCCAGCAGCCGCGGUAACACGUAGGGCGCAAGCGUUGUCCGGAAUCAUUGGGCGUAAAGAGCUCGUANGCGGUUUGUCGCGUCUGCUGUGAAAACUC